rnacentral:rRNA from 1 species
GAUGAACGCUGGCGGCGUGCUUAACACAUGCAAGUCGAACGAAGAAGGUUAGAGUGAGAGCUUCGGCAGGAUUUCUUUCCAUCUUAGUGGCGGACGGGUGAGUAACGUGUGGGCAACCUGCCCUGUACUGGGGAAUAAUCAUUGGAAACGAUGACUAAUACCGCAUGUGGUCCUCGGAAGGCAUCUUCUGAGGAAGAAAGGAUUUAUUCGGUACAGGAUGGGCCCGCAUCUGAUUAGCUAGUUGGUGAGAUAACAGCCCACCAAGGCGACGAUCAGUAGCCGACCUGAGAGGGUGAUCGGCCACAUUGGGACUGAGACACGGCCCAG